rnacentral:ncRNA from 2 species
CGACAACGAACUGGAGAGCGCCGCCAUCAUGAUUUGACGAUGACGGCCGCCGAAGGGGCAAGCCGGGUCCGGGGCGGACGCGGUGAAUCUCUCAGGCAAAAGGACAGUGGGGGCAGC